UUCUCUCUCUAACUUCUCUCUAGCCUCCCUAAACCCUUCCCAAGUCUACGAAACCUCCCUAGCACGAGAAGAAAUCCUUGAAGCGCCCGACGGCUCCGAGAAGAAAAGCUUUCGGCUCGGAAACACUGCUCCAGCGAAGCCCGGUUUUUAAUAAAAACCCGCUGUUUCGUCAAAGGAUAAUUGUUUUAAGAGUAACGAAGUGCUGUCCGAGUGCCGACUCACCACCUUUCAAGUGACGAAGUGAAGUGACAUUACACUGAGAGAUUUAAAGAGAUGUAGAUCACUAGUGUAAAUCAUUGCGGAGGCUAGAUCAUACUUCUUCCGAGUCAGAUAUUUUCCGAGACAUCGAGGUACUAGUGAUGAGUGCGGGAAUGCGCCAGCAUGAUUCGUACACACACGCAUUAGAGUUUUUGUAGAGAUUCUGGGGAAAUGUUUUGUAAUAAUAACAUUGAUACAAUGUGUUUGACAAUAUUUAUGAAUGAAUGAAUGUUUUAAAAAUGAAAAAGUUAUU